GGUGUAUCCAUGCCUGCGGGCACAACAGUUCCGUCAACGCAGGACGAGCUUGAAAUAAUUCCUGGAGACGUGUUAGAUCCUGAAAGCUGAGAUAGUCUGGACUGAGCAAGCUGCAAGAGCCACCUUCACACUCAGUUCAAGAACACUUCAGUGUUUCACAAGGAGCCAGUUACACCAAAGCACUCCAAUUUCACAUCCUGGAUACAUGCAUGAGUUCUGGUUUCUGGCUCUGUACGUUGCAGGUCAUUUAUAUUUUCUACUCAGAAGCUAAAGGCUGGAAGCUGACUCAUUGUUAAUAGAAAGUAUAAAAGCCCGCUAGGAGCAACAUGAUUCCAGGAGCUCAGACUAUCAUG
ensembl:lncRNA